ensembl:lncRNA
CUCUGUUCUGCCCUUCGGACCGGAACACUCCUCAGAGUCCCCACCAUACUGUUUGCCUGUCUAUGGGGUUGUGGUCCAGACUUUCCUCAAACCCCUGCCAUGCAGCUGUCUGUCUGAGCCUGAGGAGGUGACUGAAGCCCCACCCCCUCAGAAGUCCACGUCAGAGUCCAGUAGGAAAAUGCUAACUGCUGCCAGCUUCUCACCGCUUACCCUGGAAGAUCUGCAGUGGAUGGGGAAGAGGCAAGACCCUUUGUUACUGGUUCCUGUCUGGAAUAUGUGAUCAUGACACACCAUGGAGAAGACUGUGACAAUCGGUCAUGUAGGGACAACACCUGAAGCCCUUCCACAUGCAGAUGAGGCAUCCCUAACAUCUCAGACCAAACCCAUAGGAAGCAUUUAGACCCCAACCCACCCCAAGAUGUUUCUAAGCUCCUAUCCAUGAGGAAUAAAGUCAUUCACUGAGAUCUGAGUGCCCGUCUUAUGGAGCUGUAACACUGGGCAGAGUAUGCUCUCCUGAAGUUUUCUUCACUGGAAGCUACUCCAGUCUACAGAAGCCACUUUCUGCUCGGGGCUUCCCCACCAUGCCUUGGCUCCUAGCUGCCUGCUGUGCCCUGCUGCCUGCCACUGACUCAGGGGCAGAGGCAGCAGAGGAGGAAGAGGCCUGGCAGCCUUCCCUGCUCUGGCUCGAAGAGUGGCCCCUCAAGAUGGGCCAGAGCCCCACAGAUCCCUGCUUCUUCCCACAUGGCCUCGUACUUUCUACCUGAUGCAAAUGAAGAAACCAAGACUUGAGAGACUGAACUCAGUGCCUGAUAUUAGAGGCGGCUGGAGGUGAAAGCCAGCGUGCAUGGGACACGUGAUUAAGCAUGAAGGUAUGCACUCUCAGUAAGCUAGUUUAGUGGUUUGAGUAUCCCUAACCCAGGGAGUGGCACUAUUUGGAGGUGUGCCCUUGUUAGAGUAGGUGUGUCACUGUGGGCUUGGACUUUAAACCCUCAUCCUAGCUCCCCAGAAGUCAAUCUUCUCAUGUCUGCCUUCAGAUGAAGAUGUAGAACUCUCAGCUCCUGCACCUUGCUUGCCUGGAUGCUGCCAUGCUCCCACCUUGAUGAUUCUGGACUGAACCUCUGAACCUGUAAGCCAGUCCCAAUUAAAUGUUGUCCUUAUAGGAGUUGCCUUGGUCAUGGUGUCUGUUCACAGCAGUAAAACACUAAGACACUAGUCUAGUAGAAUUCUUACUGAACUGGGUUCAACACACUAAGGCCUGAUUAAGACAGACUCAGAGGUCUCUCUCCUAAAGCUGGGUCAAGAAGAGAAUCUAAACAAGUCCAAGAGAGCACAUGGAGUCUACAUUCAAAAUGGGGACUAUUAUAGUUAGCGGUCAAAUGAAUUUAUAAGGCUAGUCAAGCCCAGAGAGUGAGGAAACAGUUCAUCACCUUACAAAAGCCAACAAAAAACAGCAGGGAAGGGUAGAAAAACUCUGCCUGAGUCAACGUCCUACUCUCCUCAAGCGAAGACCCCCUUUGACCAGGACUCGUGAAUAGAAUGAAAAACCCCACAUUCCCUGUCUCCUGGCCAAGCACUGGCUUUACUGCACUCGAGUGGGCAGCCUAGAAGCCGUCGCUGAGACACAGGCAACCCAGAGACCACAGGUCCAAUGGGGUUCUCAAGUCCCAGAGAAGGCAAAGGCCGUGAGAUGUAGCCUCAGAGACAUAAUGCUCAUGUCAGAGGCUUGGCCUCAGGAAGAAGCAGGACCCUAAAAUCUAUUUCCUGGGUGUCUAAAAGGCCACAGGCAUCUGAUACCUGUCUAAACACAGUGAUUGAAACAGCCUUUGUCCUAUAAACCCCAUUUCUACCUUUAAAGAAAUGAAGUGUCAGUGCAGAGAACUGAGGCUGUUCAUGUCAGAAGUACUGAGUAUCCUCUGUGUACAGGCUCUUUGCUGACAAAGGUAAAGAGACCUAGCCUCAGGUUUCUGGGAUUUAGAAUACCAGGGAAGGGAAGACAAGUAGAGAGGCAGCUCUUAUCCUGUGUGAGAAUGGGGGAAGGGACACUCACCUAUGUUCGUUUUAGAUGCCCCAGAACACAUCUUUCCACUAUAUCUGCUGGCUGCUUAGAAAUGGUUUUUUAAGUUCGUCACAGAAUCUAGAAAUAAGAGUGGCUUGAAUGAAGAAUGAGGUGACUUGAAUAAAAGUGGCCCCCAUGUACAGAGCCUUAUUGAGUAGGCGGGGCAGUGUUGGAGGAAGUGUGUCACUUGGGGCAGGCUUUGAGAUCUCAGAGGCUCAAGCCUAGUCAGUGGGCCACUGUCUCUUCCUGAUGACUGAGGAUGUGGAUGUAGAUCUCUCAGCUCCUUCUCCAGUACCAUGUCUGCCUGCACACUACCAUGCUUCCCGCCAUGAUGGUAAUGGACUAAACAUCUUACUGUAAGCCAGAC